rnacentral:misc_RNA from 1 species
UCCGGUUCUACUUGGUGCAUGUCAAGCCUAGGUGAGGUUCUUCGCGUUGCAUCGAAUUAAACCACACGCUCCGCUGCUUGUGCGGGCCCCCGUCAAUUCCUUUGAGUUUUAGCCUUGCGGCCGUACUCCCCAGGCAGAGCACUUAAUGCGUUAGCUGCGACACCGGAGGGGUCGAUACCCCCGACAUCUAGUGCUCACCGUUUACGGCGUGGACUAC